rnacentral:rRNA from 1 species
UACGUAGGGUGCAAGCGUUGUCCGGAAUUAUUGGGCGUAAAGAGCUCGUAGGCGGCGUGUCGCGUCGGGAGUGAAAGCCCGCUGCUUAACGGCGGGUUGGCUUCCGGUACGGGCAUCGCUGGAGUGCGGCAGGGGAGACUGGAAUUCCUGGUGUAGCGGUGAAACGCGCAGAUAUCAGGAGGAACACCGAUGGCGAAGGCAGGUCUCUGGGCAUUAACUGACGCUGAGGAGCGAAAGCAUGGGGAGCGAACAGG